UGGGGAAUAUUGCACAAUGGGCGAAAGCCUGAUGCAGCAACGCCGCGUGAGUGAUGAAGGCCUUCGGGUUGUAAAGCUCUGUCUUUUGGGACGAUAAUGACGGUACCAAAGGAGGAAGCCACGGCUAACUACGUGCCAGCAGCCGCGGUAAUACGUAGGUGGCAAGCGUUGUCCGGAUUUACUGGGCGUAAAGGAUGCGUAGGCGGAUUUUUAAGUGAGAUGUGAAAACCCUAAGCUUAACUUGGGGACUGCAUUUCAUACUGGAAAUCUAGAGUGCGGGAGAGGAGAAUGGAAUUCCUAGUGUAGCGGUGAAAUGCGUAGAGAUUAGGAAGAACACCAGUGGCGAAGGCGAUUCUCUGGACCGUAACUGACGCUGAGGCAUGAAAAGCGUGGGUAGCAAACAGGAUUAGAUACCCUGGUAGUCCACGCCGUAAACGAUGAGUACUAGGUGUAGGAGGUAUCGACCCCUUCUGUGCCGCAGUUAACACAAUAAGUACUCCGCCUGGGAAGUACGAUCGCAAGAUUAAAAACUUAAAGGAAUUGACGGGGUCAUAGCUGUUUCCU
rnacentral:rRNA from 1 species